GACGAACGCUGGCGGCGUGCUUAACACAUGCAAGUCGAACGGAAAGGCCCUGCUUUUGUGGGGUGCUCGAGUGGCGAACGGGUGAGUAACACGUGAGUAACCUGCCCUUGACUUUGGGAUAACUUCAGGAAACCGGGGCUAAUACCGGAUAGGAGCUCCUGCUGCAUGGUGGGGGUUGGAAAGUUUCGGCGGUUGGGGAUGGACUCGCGGCUUAUCAGCUUGUUGGUGGGGUAGUGGCUUACCAAGGCUUUGACGGGUAGCCGGCCUGAGAGGGUGACCGGCCACAUUGGGACUGAGACACGGCCCAGACUCCUACGGGAGGCAGCAGUGGGGAAUAUUGCACAAUGGGCGGAAGCCUGAUGCAGCAACGCCGCGUGCGGGAUGACGGCCUUCGGGUUGUAAACCGCUUUCGCCUGUGACGAAGCGUGAGUGACGGUAAUGGGUAAAGAAGCACCGGCUAACUACGUGCCAGCAGCCGCGGUGAUACGUAGGGUGCGAGCGUUGUCCGGAUUUAUUGGGCGUAAAGGGCUCGUAGGUGGUUGAUCGCGUCGGAAGUGUAAUCUUGGGGCUUAACCCUGAGCGUGCUUUCGAUACGGGUUGACUUGAGGAAGGUAGGGGAGAAUGGAAUUCCUGGUGGAGCGGUGGAAUGCGCAGAUAUCAGGAGGAACACCAGUGGCGAAGGCGGUUCUCUGGGCCUUUCCUGACGCUGAGGAGCGAAAGCGUGGGGAGCGAACAGGCUUAGAUACCCUGGUAGUCCACGCUGUAAACGGUGGGUACUAGGUGUGGGGUCCAUUCCACGGGUUCCGUGCCGUAGCUAGCGCUUUAAGUACCCCGCCUGGGGAGUGCGGCCGCAAGGCUAAAACUCAAAGGAAUUGACGGGGCCCCGCACAAGCGGCGGAGCAUGCGGAUUAAUUCGAUGCAACGCGUAGAACCUUACCUGGGUUUGACAUGGAUCGGGAGUGCUCAGAGAUGGGUGUGCCUCUUUUGGGGUCGGUUCACAGGUGGUGCAUGGCUGUCGUCAGCUCGUGUCGUGAGAUGUUGGGUUAAGUCCCGCAACGAGCGCAACCCUUGUUCACUGUUGCCAGCACGUUAUGGUGGGGACUCAGUGGAGACCGCCGGGGUCAACUCGGAGGAAGGUGGGGAUGACGUCAAGUCAUCAUGCCCCUUAUGUCCAGGGCUUCACGCAUGCUACAAUGGCUGGUACAGAGAGUGGCGAGCCUGUGAGGGUGAGCGAAUCUCGGAAAGCCGGUCUCAGUUCGGAUUGGGGUCUGCAACUCGACCUCAUGAAGUCGGAGUCGCUAGUAAUCGCAGAUCAGCAACGCUGCGGUGAAUACGUUCCCGGG
rnacentral:rRNA from 1 species